rnacentral:snRNA from 1 species
GAGUUCAGCAACACUUCUGCUAAAAUUGGAAUGACCCAGGGAAGAUUAGCAUGGCCCCUAAACAAAUUUGUGAAUCAUUCCAUAUUUUU